UGGAGGUGGCCACGCUUUCAAGCGUAUCAUUUUCUUUUAUAAAAUCAUCUCAACAAUUUGUCAAUUCAACCGAGUCAUUUUCCACUCUUCAAAUAGAAGACUAGUAUGUAAAACCGCGUCGUUUCAUGAACUUGUAGUUUUUACAAAAACUACGGUGUAGAUCUCGUUAUUUUUAGUGGAUCUAUUCAUAACAUAGCUUAGUCUUGCAAAAACCUCGUUUUUGGAACAAAUCACUUCUUACAACUUCCCGACAAUUUUUGUAAACAUUGUUAUUUUGUCGGAUCUUUUAUUCUACAAGUGUUUCUACACUUGUAGUUUAUAGAAAUCGUAUUUGUUAACACUUUAUCCACUUUUAUAAAAACAUGAUUUUCUCGACACCCGGUCCUACGAAUAUACCACUUGUACAUACGUAGAUCGGCUUGUUUUAAAUACUAUUUUUCAUGUUAAAACACUUUUAUACAAGUUCAUGUUUCUCGUGUGGUGGAGUUUCACCUUUUAACCCUUGAACCGCUGGCAUCCAGUGUAUGCCAAAAUUCGAGAUCUUAACAAAGUCGGGUUAAACGAUGAUAAGAGCCACCACAUCAUAGAUCGGGCCAUUUUAAUCAACAUGUUCAAAAACUACGACAUUUACACGCGUUUUGAGCUUUUAUCCAACAAUAUACACGUUUUAUAAACUUUAAAGUUUCAUUAAGCGGGUUACCGACAUUCAACCGACAAAUAUCCUUUUAACCACUUUAGACAUGCCCAAAAAUGAGUUUUAAACGUUAUACCUCUAGCUCGGGGCUAGGGAAGAAACUAGUCGAAAACUGCGUGGAUAAUAGCAAACGGUAGAGGUCCUUCGCGUUCCGUUUGUUCCGAGCUCCGUUGUACGUAACCACCGACACUUGUAUGGACUUGGAAUUGCAAGACUUGAACUCGAAAGCGGGUGGGUGGUGGUGAUAGUGUUCGGCCGAGAGGGAGAGCAAGGGAGGGAGAGAGAGUGAAGGUGAGGUGUGUGUGUGUUUAGGUGUGAGAGGUGAGGGUUAUUUAUAGAAAAAGUCGUCUCGAUCUUCGCGUAAUCUAAU
rnacentral:lncRNA from 1 species